rnacentral:lncRNA from 1 species
GGAGGAGGACCGACAGAUGAACGGAUGACCUGCUUGCUGGGCUUCCCAUUCCUGAUUAUUAGACAUGAGGACCACUGACUGGUGAGGGAAUUUGCCCUAUGAUGGAUGAGCCUGUCUCAAGCUGCCAUAAGCUGGGAGGACCGACGGUUGACUGACCCUGCCUGCUUGGUUGGCCAUUACCGAUUCUUGAGAAGAUGAGGACCGCCAAGCUUGGAUGAGACUGGAAAAUUACGAAGCUGCUCUAUGUGGACAAGGAUGCCCUCAUUAGACACUUUCCAAUUUGCGGAAUAUUGGAUCCAAAAUCAGACUGCAUAUUAUUUUGCAUUAUUAUAAAACAUAAAAACGACGAAAAUACGAAUUCUUACGCCAAGUUACCGCUAUAAUUGGAAGAAAUAAUAGCUUAAAUCACUGUUACUUGUUAACUUUACUGAGAUACCUAUACCUGAAAUAUUUGACAACGAGUACGACGAAAAUUGAAGGAAAAAAGUCAAAUGUGUGUAAAAUACAUUGCAGUGAAAAUCAAAUCAUGAGCGGAUUUUCUUCUCACAGAAAUGCUUCUCCGCUUCCAAUAAGUGGCUGAGAAAAUGAUGAAAUUUACGCCGAAAAUAACUAAAAUCAGUGUUGUUUUUACCUUUACUGCGAUACCUACCCGAAAUAUUUGACUAAACGCGUGUGACGAAACGUGGAAACAAAAUCAAAUCAGUCCAAAUUAAAUUACAACGAAAAUCACAUAGUACGUGGAGUUUCUUCUCGCGGCACGGCACUCUGUUUCUACAGGUAGCUACAGGAAAAUUACGAAAAUUACACCGAAAAUCAACGCGGCAUAUAAGUGAAGUGACGAAACAUAGUUUACACGGCUAAAAAAUCACAGCGUUAGUGAGAGAAAUAAUACUUGAUAUCAGUGUUAUUUUUCUUACCUACAAAGUAAAAAAAAUUCGAUUGCGGAAGAAUGAAAUCAAAGAGACGAAAAUUGCGGUAAAAAGAUUAACAGAGGCAGCGAAAGAAAUAAAUAUUUGAAAUCGGUAAUUUUCUAAACUUCUAGGCCCUAUGUCAUGCAAAAAUUUGCUAAGGAAAAAUGACCGAAAUAAUGUUAACAAAAAACUUUCCAAUUAUAAUCGGCAGCCACUUCUGGUACGGUACUACACUGCUUAAAAAAGUCGGAAAGCGAAUUUUGAUAAAUGGUGGGGAAAAUGACGGAAAUUAAGGAAAAACUCCAUUAUAUCGAUGUAAAGAAAAUUACUGAAUUUCAAUUAAAGCAACAAUAUUAAAGGCAUUCCCCCCGAGUUCUAGGCCUACACCACAUCUUUUAAGUAUUAUUCGUCAGCAAAAAUAACUGCAAUUUGUGACAUUGUCAAGAUGUUUGCCUUCAAAAAAGCCAGAAAUAGCCAGGUUAUGCAUGUGAAAGGGUACAACUUAAGUGUAAUCAACAAAGCGAUAGGGAAAAUGGCUGUAUAAGACAUGCGACAUAUUUACUAUCGCAUACGACAUUUCUUCGUGUUUUUGUAAAUGUUUAAACUUAAUCUACAUCAUUUAUGUGAGUCCGAUUUGGAAAGAUCGGCAGGGAUACAUGUUUUUAUCAAGUAUAUAUUUCUCCUUUGAGUUACUCAUUUGGUUGUCUUAUUUUGACCUUUGAUAACGUAUAAGGCCGACAGUGCUGUUUUAUUGAAGGGGAGAACACGAAAACCAUAACGGAAAAAGCGUUGCAGUAGUUAAAGAGAUCGGUCUAAUAUAGACUUUCACGAUCAAAUCUUUGUGGGCUACGAGUAUACCGUACUUAACGAAAAUUUCAAAAGAAAGCAUUUCAAGAUAUGCGACAGGUUUAAAGUAACAUAGAAAACUACUAUUUCCUUGUUGAUUUUAGCCUACGUGUAACCCUCCUUCCGUAUAGUACUAUGUUCAAUGUAAGUCUGAUUUGGAAGGGAUCGGCAAGGAUUAAGAUGGCAUUUUGUCAUCUUAAUGUCACGUGAAUUUCUUUUAAUGGUUGUUUAUAGUGUGCGAGUUAUAUGCAGUUUCCAAAGCAACCUGCCAUUAUCAGCGUCAGCACAUUAUGACAAAGUAAUCGUAAUCGUGAAAUAAUGGAAACAUGGGUAGAAUCGUUUGGUUUCCAUUGGAUCCUACCCAUGACCUGGUUAUAGGUAGGCUUAGACAUAAUUAUUGGCUACAUUUGCAAUGUUUCACUUCAGUAACAAAUGGGCUACUAGGCCCAGUGUUUUCGUACCCCUGUCCACUUAGGAAAGAGUUGCAGCUUUCAUCAAAGAAACUGAUGAUCUAAAAGUUGAGACAGACUGGAUAAGCUAGGCUGCUUUGUCUGGACGAAAAUGAACCCUCCAAGGCUCCAACAGCCUCAUCACACAUAAACUCGAGGAACCGAGACAAAACUAGCUUGCACAAUAUGAAAUGAUAAAUUAGACUGCAUAAUGCAACGUCAUUAAUGUUAUACACUAAGGCAACAACACUAAAAUAAAAUGAAAAGUAAUUUUGAUUUCAUUAAAUUAUUUAUGCCUCUAAAAUAAUCUUUAACCGGACACUGCAACAGACAGUUAACAAUGGACAAUAAUGGAAACUUGCUGAAAAAAUUAUUGUAAGGGUAAUAAUUUGUCACUGGCUUUUUAGCAGUGACAUGUCUGGGAGAAGGGAUGUUCCUUUGAUCUGUCCUUGGUCAUCCAAAAUUAUUGCAUCAAUAUGUUAAUAAUUUCAUACUCCUUACCUUUAAUGCAUUCAAUUGGAUCUUCUCGGUAAAUUAUAAACGAGGUCUCGCCUAAGGCUUUCUAUUUGCUUUUUGUUUAGUUGACAAUGGAGAAUUUUGCUCUAUCAAUUUAAUUUGAUAUUAAAAGUGCAUUUUUAAGAAAACCAAUUUAAGUCAUAAGAGUUUUGAAAGAUUUCAAAAAGGAUUUAUUUAUUGUUUAAAAACUGAAGAAAUGUAACAAACUUUAUUUAAAUGUAACGUCUUUAACAAGACGUCGGUUUAACUAAAACGUGACUUUCUUUCCAUUGUAUAUUUAUUAGAAAACACAAGAACGUUUAAUUUUUAGGAAAAUUUAAAGAAUAAACUGUUCAGGAACUUCUAUCCAUCAAAAUGCAUUGCAACAGGUAUAAGUGACACUCAAAUUACACUUGUGUUUGUCCUUUUGUGAUUUAUUUCAUUGCACUUUUUUCACUUGUUAUAUUUUUUUACUUCGUAUGCACAAUUGUUUUUUUUGGUGGUUUUGCAUGUCUUUUCAUUUUCUUAUUAAUAAUUAACUAACCUCACAAAAGGAUAAACGCAAUAUAUAUCGAGUGUUGAACUUGCUUCGCAUCAAAUAUUUUUUUCACAUAAUAGCUAAAUUAGAUAAACUAUAGUCCUGAAAUGUUUCAAAAUAAUCUAGGAUUUUAUUUGGUGGGGGGGGGGGCAUUCCCAAGUUUUAUCUUCCCUUUUAAAAAUCUUAUUCACAAAAUGGCGAAAUACAAAAACCUGGCUUUACCGUGUACAGUCAUGUAGUCGUUGCUUAUGUAAUAAUCAUCUAUGAUAUAAAGUGAUUAUUAAUUUCUAAAAUUUAUUGGCCUUCUGCCCAACUUUUUUCCUCAUUUGGAAUCGUUGUAUUUGUUUGUAUGAAUUGGUUUAAAUAUUUGUAUGUCAAAAAGACUAAGGAAUUAAACAAAAUAAAUAAAACUUGAAAGAUGUGAGACAU